GCUCGACUAGGCAAACUAGGCAAAGCCGCAGGCCUCAAAAGCCAGUGUUUGCGAGUUCGAAUCUCGCGUCGAGUAC
rnacentral:tRNA from 1 species